rnacentral:rRNA from 1 species
UACGAAGGGGGCUAGCGUUGCUCGGAAUCACUGGGCGUAAAGGGUGCGUAGGCGGGUCUUUAAGUCAGGGGUGAAAUCCUGGAGCUCAACUCCAGAACUGCCUUUGAUACUGAAGAUCUUGAGUUCGGGAGAGGUGAGUGGAACUGCGAGUGUAGAGGUGAAAUUCGUAGAUAUUCGCAAGAACACCAGUGGCGAAGGCGGCUCACUGGCCCGAUACUGACGCUGAGGCACGAAAGCGUGGCGAGCAAACAGG